UACUUGUGCAAAACAGAAAGAAGUUGAGGU
rnacentral:piRNA from 1 species